UACAGAGGGUGCAAGCGUUGCUCGGAAUCAUUGGGCGUAAAGGGUUGGUAGGUGGUCCCGUUUGUCUUAGGUGAAAUCCCUGGGCUUAACCCAGGAAGUGCCUUGGAAACGGCGGGACUGGAGUACUAGCGAGGUUCGUAGAAUUCCCGGUGUAGCGGUGAAAUGCGUAGAGAUCGGGAGGAAUACCGAUGGCGAAGGCAGCCCCCUGGGAUAACACUGACGCUCAUGCACGAAAGCGUGGGGAGCAAACAGG
rnacentral:rRNA from 1 species